AGCGAACGCUGGCGGCAGGCCUAACACAUGCAAGUCGAACGAUCCCUCGGGAUAGUGGCGGACGGGUGAGUAACACGUGGGAACGUGCCCUUUGGUUCGGAACAACUCAGGGAAACUUGAGCUAAUACCGAAUGUGCCCUUCGGGGGAAAGAUUUAUCGCCAUUGGAGCGGCCCGCGUCUGAUUAGCUAGUUGGUGAGGUAACGGCUCACCAAGGCGACGAUCAGUAGCUGGUCUGAGAGGAUGAUCAGCCACAUUGGGACUGAGACACGGCCCAAACUCCUACGGGAGGCAGCAGUGGGGAAUCUUGCGCAAUGGGCGAAAGCCUGACGCAGCCAUGCCGCGUGAAUGAUGAAGGUCUUAGGACUGUAAAAUUUUUUCACCGGGGACGAUAAUGACGGUACCCGGAGAAGAAGCUCCGGCUAACUUCGUGCCAGCCGCCGCCGUAACAC
rnacentral:rRNA from 1 species